GCCCGCGAGAAAAAGCUGUGGAAGACGUCUUGCAGCAUUUCUAACUACCGAGGCACUGUGAACCUCUGAAACUUGAUUCUGUUGUUCAUGAUUUACAAUCUGAAGACUAUCAAGAGAUCAAAGGAAUAAAGUAUUGACUGACUUGGAGACAACAUUUCUUCGUACUGCCAUCACAGAGGUCUUGCCUAACCUUCCAGAGGCAACAAAAGAUAUUUUAGAGGAGUUAUUGCAAUCCAUUGGAGUGGAGACAUAUGAUGAUUUUCAGUUUAUUGAGGAAUCUGAUUUGCUGACAGCAUUGAGGCCAAUCCAAGCUCAAAGUUCUUGCUGCUUGGAAGUUAAGAUGCCAGACACCAGAAACAAGCAGCUCAUCACAACCUUCCACAGCCUUCCAUAGUUCACCUGCAAGUUCUCAAUCGUCCUCCACCAGCAGCUCCCAAAGCCCAGAUGUAGACUGGGUGGAUACGUUUCUGAUACCAUGGGAUACAUUUUUUGGAGAGAGGAAAACUACCAAGUUCACGAAUGAGAAGAGAGAUGGUCCGAAUUGUGGCCAAUCCUGCUUUUCAUCGAAGCGUUUCCUGCUGUGUGUGGAUCGAAAUGUUGUACAUGACAACAUCCCCUCCUUUAUUUCUGCCCUGUGCAUGAUGUUUGGGAGCUAUUAUUGCUUCGACAUCCAUUACCCAUCAGAGCUGGCAUCAAUCUUGGAGUUUUUGCAGAAGUGUUUCUUCUCUAUCAACCCAGAGAAAGGCACUAAAGUGGAGAAGACAAACACAGCCCGUCUUCAUGUGAACCCAAGAGUUCUUACCUUGAUCCAGGAACUUUCAGAUCAUGAAUGGCGUGACGUCUAAAUAUGGACUGAAGUCAGUAAGAUUUGACAUACAGUGAAUGCCAGUUUCUCAGGUUUGUUUGAUCUGCCAUGCUUAAUGUAUGUGUUUAAGUUAGUACACAACUAUUAGCGUUUUUAUCUAGUGUUUUCUGAAUUAGGUAAUUCCUGAAUUGGUUGUUUGUAUGGAAUAUUUGUUUAUAAAACAACUCUUAAAUCGAUUUAAAAGAAAAGUUGGUAGCACUUUAAAAUAACUACAAACUAUGAACCAUUUAUUAAGCAUUAGCAUAUAGUGAAUUAAUUUACUGUUGAGCAUUAACUCUACUAUAAUAAACAUUAGUAGACAGUUUAUAGCUACAGCUAAAAAUGCUGUAUUCUUGACUUAAAAGCAUGUGUAUUGUGCUUAAUAAUUGUGUUUU